rnacentral:rRNA from 1 species
UACGAAGGGGGCUAGCGUUGCUCGGAAUCACUGGGCGUAAAGGGUGCGUAGGCGGGUCUUUAAGUCAGGGGUGAAAUCCUGGAGCUCAACUCCAGAACUGCCUUUGAUACUGAGGAUCUUGAGUUCGGGAGAGGUGAGUGGAACUGCGAGUGUAGAGGUGAAAUUCGUAGAUAUUCGCAAGAACACCAGUGGCGAAGGCGGCUCACUGGCCCGAUACUGACGCUGAGGAGCGAAAGCGUGGGGAGCAAACAGG